GGAUGCGAUCAUACCAGCACUAAUGCACUGGAUUUCAUCAGAACUCCGAAGUUAAGCGUGCUUGGACGAGAGUAGUACUAGGAUGGGUGACCCCCUGAAAAGUACUCGUGUUACAUCCC